rnacentral:rRNA from 1 species
GGUAGUCCACGCCGUAAACGAUGUCGACUUGGAGGCUGUUCCCCUGAGGAGUGGCUUCCGGAGCUAACGCGUUAAGUCGACCGCCUGGGGAGUACGGCCGCAAGGUUAAAACUCAAAUGAAUUGACGGGGGCCCGCACAAGCGGUGGAGCAUGUGGUUUAAUUCGAUGCAACGCGAAGAACCUUACCUGGCCUUGACAUCCAGAGAACUUAGCAGAGAUGCUUCGGUGCCUUCGGGAACUCUGAGACAGGUGCUGCAUGGCUGUCGUCAGCUCGUGUUGUGAAAUGUUGGGUUAAGUCCCGCAACGAGCGCAACCCUUAUCCUUUGUUGCCAGCGGGUGAUGCCGGGAACUCAAAGGAGACUGCCGGUGACAAACCGGAGGAAGGUGGGGAUGACGUCAAGUCAUCAUGGCCCUUACGGCCUGGGCUACACACGUGCUACAAUUGUCGGUACAAAGGGUUGCCAAGCCGCGAGGUGGAGCUAAUCCCAUAAAACCGAUCGUAGUCCGGAUCGCAGUCUGCAACUCGACUGCGUGAAGUCGGAAUCGCUAGUAAUCGCGAAUCAGAAUGUCGCGGUGAAUACGUUCCCGGGCCUUGUACACACCGCCCGUCACACCAUGGGAGUGGGUUGCACCAGAAGUAGCUAGUCUAACCUUCGGGAGGACGGUUACCACGGUGUGAUUCAUGACUGGGGUGAAGUCGUAACAAGGUAACC